GCGAGUUUGGCCGAGUUGGUUAAGGCGGUAGACUUAAGCUCUACUGACGAAAGUCUCACGUGUUCGAAUCGCGUAGCUCGCA